GGCAAGCAAUCUGAUAUAGGUUACACAGGUACAAUCAGAUUAAACAUUUCAACAUUAGUCAUAUUGUGAAAGAAGAAUCAAAACAAAAGGGAAAAACCAAGAGAAAGAAAAAGCAAUGACAAAAAAGAGCAUUGUACUGCUGUGAAGAGACAAGUCUACCAAAGUUGAUCAUCACACAAUGUUGCUGUUACUAUGUACAAUGUUCUCCUGGUUCUUCUCACUUCACUCAGCAUCAGUUCAAAACUGUGAGGAGGAUUCUCUCUGCACCGCUGCCACAAGCUCCAUCACACCAGUGCUUCUCCUCGCCCCAGAACUACCACCCAGGAUCAUGACUCAUGACUGGAACCCAGAUUCAAGCAUGGACAAAGCAAGAGAAUCCUGCCUCAGCACCAGCAAAGAGAUCCUUGUAAUCCAUCUCUGAUCAGCUAUUCAAUCCCCCCACCGUCUGUGGGCCGAGAGCUCUGGAAGCAGCUGUCACUGCCCCGGGGUUGUGCCAGGACUGAGGCUGGACCACAUUCUUCUGUCACCCAGGUCCAACAGACCUUUCCUACUGACCUUCUAAGUUGUCUUUGGUGUUUUUGGGUUAAGA